rnacentral:rRNA from 1 species
CUACACAUGCAGUCGAGCGGAUGAUGGGAGCUUGCUCCCGGAUUCAGCGGCGGACGGGUGAGUAAUGCCUAGGAAUCUGCCUGGUAGUGGGGGACAACGUUUCGAAAGGAACGCUAAUACCGCAUACGUCCUACGGGAGAAAGUGGGGGACCUUCGGGCCUCACGCUAUCAGAUGAGCCUAGGCCGGAUUAGCUAGUUGGUGAGGUAAAGGCUCACCAAGGCGACGAUCCGUAACUGGUCUGAGAGGAUGAUCAGUCACACUGGAACUGAGACACGGUCCAGACUCCUACGGGAGGCAGCAGUGGGGAAUAUUGGACAAUGGGCGAAAGCCUGAUCCAGCCAUGCCGCGUGUGUGAAGAAGGUCUUCGGAUUGUAAAGCACUUUAAGUUGGGAGGAAGGGCAGUAAGCGAAUACCUUGCUGUUUUGACGUUACCGACAGAAUAAGCACCGGCUAACUCUGUGCCAGCAGCCGCGGUAAUACAGAGGGUGCAAGCGUUAAUCGGAAUUACUGGGCGUAAAGCGCGCGUAGGUGGUUUGUUAAGUUGAAUGUGAAAUCCCCGGGCUCAACCUGG